rnacentral:rRNA from 1 species
UACGUAGGGCGCGAGCGUUGUCCGGAAUUAUUGGGCGUAAAGAGCUCGUAGGUGGCUUGUUGCGUCUGCCGUGAAAGCCCGUGGCUUAACUACGGGUCUGCGGUGGAUACGGGCAGGCUAGAGGCUGGUAGGGGCAAGCGGAAUUCCUGGUGUAGCGGUGAAAUGCGCAGAUAUCAGGAGGAACACCGGUGGCGAAGGCGGCUUGCUGGGCCAGGUCUGACGCUGAGGAGCGAAAGCGUGGGGAGCGAACAGG